rnacentral:rRNA from 1 species
ACAGUUCGGUCCCUAUCCUUCGUGGGAGCAGGAAAUUUGAGGGGAACUACAUCUAGUACGAGAGGACCGGUGUGGACGAACCUCUGGUGUAUCGGUUGUGACGCCAGUUGCAUUGCCGAGUAGCUAUGUUCGGUCUGGAUAACCGCUGAAAGCAUCUAAGCGGGAAGCCGUCCCCAAAAGAGAUUUCCCUGAAGAGUCGUUGUAGACUACAACGUUGAUAGGUCACAGGUGUAAGCGCAGUAAUG